GAUGAAGAACGUAGCGAAAUGCGAUAAGUAAUGUGAAUUGCAGAAUUCAGUGAAUCAUCGAAUCUUUGAACGCACCUUGCGCCCUUUGGCCAUUCCGAAGGGCAUGCCUGUUUGAGUAUCAUGAACACCUCAACUCUUCAUGGUUUUCCGUGAUGAGCUUGGACUUUGGGGGUCUUGCUGGCCUAUGGUCAGCUCCUCUAAAAUAAAUCAGCUUGCCAGUGUUUGGUGGGUAUCACAGGUGUGAUAACUAUCUACGCUUGUGGUUUUCCACCAGGUAACCUUCAGCAGUGGAGGUUCGCUGGAGCUCACAGAUGUGUCUCUCCUCAGUGAGGACAGCUCUUUGAAUGUUUGAUCUCAAAUCAGGUAGGACUACCCGCUGAACUUAAGCAUAUCAAUAAGCGGAGUA
rnacentral:misc_RNA from 1 species